UGUGAUUGGAUGGGUAAGAGAAGAGUGUUAUGUGUAUGCAAUUGGAUGAUUGUGGAAACGCGCGGGUAUGCGGUUAAUGGAGCCAAGCGAUUGGUCAGCUGCGAUUUUUGAGUUUCCUGACAGAACUUUCUUUGCGCAUUCUGUGCGCAGCGCUGAUUCAUUUCUAACUCUGCUGGGUGUACAAGAGAGAAACUGCGCAAAUGGUUCAGUACACAUUGUGUAAAACAGAUUCUUCUGGGAUACUCUGGAUAAAGCUACUGAUCCAGCAGUCACUGGAGUCCAGCUCUUUUGAAGAGAAGAGUUCAGAGAAAUUAUCUUCCUCAAAAAAGCCACCCCUCCAGGAGGGGGAUUCCCCUAGAAGAC